GCUGCAUCUCAGAGCUGCAUUUCUCUCUUGCAAAGUGCGGUGCUGUAACUCAGGAUACAGACCUCGCCCUCAGAUGCUCAUGUCUUCCACUGGGUAAAAAGGCUGCGUGGAGCUUAGGAGCCUGUUUCUACUCACAAAAUCCCUGGCACCAACUGGUGAGUCUAGGUCCGGAUCCUGUAUUCCAGGCUCUGUUCUGUUGAUAGCAGACAAGAGGCCAAGAAGCUGGAAAGUUUUGACAACUCAGAACCCAACUGAGACCCUAACCAGAGGUGAAAUAUUUGCUGAGCCACCCAGAAGGGAAACUUUAUAUAAUACAGAAGAAGAAGAAGAAGAAGAAGAAGAA